GGGACACGUGGUAUCCUGUCUGAAUAUGGGGGGACCAUCCUCCAAGGCUAAAUACUCCUGACUGACCGAUAGUGAACCAGUACCGUGAGGGAAAGGCGAAAAGAACCCCGGCGAGGGGAGUGAAAAAGAACCUGAAACCGUGUACGUACAAGCAGUGGGAGCACGCUUAGGCGUGUGACUGCGUACCUUUUGUAUAAUGGGUCAGCGACUUAUAUUCUGUAGCAAGGUUAACCGAAUAGGGGAGCCGAAGGGAAACCGAGUCUUAACUGGGCGUUAAGUUGCAGGGUAUAGACCCGAAACCCGGUGAUCUAGCCAUGGGCAGGUUGAAGGUUGGGUAACACUAACUGGAGGACCGAACCGACUAAUGUUGAAAAAUUAGCGGAUGACUUGUGGCUGGGGGUGAAAGGCCAAUCAAACCGGGAGAUAGCUGGUUCUCCCCGAAAGCUAUUUAGGUAGCGCCUCGUGAAUUCAUCUCCGGGGGUAGAGCACUGUUUCGGCAAGGGGGUCAUCCCGACUUACCAACCCGAUGCAAACUGCGAAUACCGGAGAAUGUUAUCACGGGAGACACACGGCGGGUGCUAACGUCCGUCGUGAAGAGGGAAACAACCCAGACCGCCAGCUAAGGUCCCAAAGUCAUGGUUAAGUGGGAAACGAUGUGGGAAGGCCCAGACAGCCAGGAUGUUGGCUUAGAAGCAGCCAUCAUUUAAAGAAAGCGUAAUAGCUCACUGGUCGAGUCGGCCUGCGCGGAAGAUGUAACGGGGCUAAACCAUGCACCGAAGCUGCGGCAGCGACGCUUAUGCGUUGUUGGGUAGGGGAGCGUUCUGUAAGCCUGCGAAGGUGUGCUGUGAGGCAUGCUGGAGGUAUCAGAAGUGCGAAUGCUGACAUAAGUAACGAUAAAGCGGGUGAAAAGCCCGCUCGCCGGAAGACCAAGGGUUCCUGUCCAACGUUAAUCGGGGCAGGGUGAGUCGACCCCUAAGGCGAGGCCGAAAGGCGUAGUCGAUGGGAAACAGGUUAAUAUUCCUGUACUUGGUGUUACUGCGAAGGGGGGACGGAGAAGGCUAUGUUGGCCGGGCGACGGUUGUCCCGGUUUAAGCGUGUAGGCUGGUUUUCCAGGCAAAUCCGGAAAAUCAAGGCUGAGGCGUGAUGACGAGGCACUACGGUGCUGAAGCAACAAAUGCCCUGCUUCCAGGAAAAGCCUCUAAGCAUCAGGUAACAUCAAAUCGUACCCCAAACCGACACAGGUGGUCAGGUAGAGAAUACCAAGGCGCUUGAGAGAACUCGGGUGAAGGAACUAGGCAAAAUGGUGCCGUAACUUCGGGAGAAGGCACGCUGAUAUGUAGGUGAAGUCCCUCGCGGAUGGAGCUGAAAUCAGUCGAAGAUACCAGCUGGCUGCAACUGUUUAUUAAAAACACAGCACUGUGCAAACACGAAAGUGGACGUAUACGGUGUGACGCCUGCCCGGUGCCGGAAGGUUAAUUGAUGGGGUCAGCGCAAGCGAAGCUCUUGAUCGAAGCCCCGGUAAACGGCGGCCGUAACUAUAACGGUCCUAAGGUAGCGAAAUUCCUUGUCGGGUAAGUUCCGACCUGCACGAAUGGCGUAAUGAUGGCCAGGCUGUCUCCACCCGAGACUCAGUGAAAUUGAACUCGCUGUGAAGAUGCAGUGUACCCGCGGCAAGACGGAAAGACCCCGUGAACCUUUACUAUAGCUUGACACUGAACAUUGAGCCUUGAUGUGUAGGAUAGGUGGGAGGCUUUGAAGUGUGGACGCCAGUCUGCAUGGAGCCGACCUUGAAAUACCACCCUUUAAUGUUUGAUGUUCUAACGUUGACCCGUGAUCCGGGUUGCGGACAGUGUCUGGUGGGUAGUUUGACUGGGGCGGUCUCCUCCUAAAGAGUAACGGAGGAGCACGAAGGUUGGCUAAUCCUGGUCGGACAUCAGGAGGUUAGUGCAAUGGCAUAAGCCAGCUUGACUGCGAGCGUGACGGCGCGAGCAGGUGCGAAAGCAGGUCAUAGUGAUCCGGUGGUUCUGAAUGGAAGGGCCAUCGCUCAACGGAUAAAAGGUACUCCGGGGAUAACAGGCUGAUACCGCCCAAGAGUUCAUAUCGACGGCGGUGUUUGGCACCUCGAUGUCGGCUCAUCACAUCCUGGGGCUGAAGUAGGUCCCAAGGGUAUGGCUGUUCGCCAUUUAAAGUGGUACGCGAGCUGGGUUUAGAACGUCGUGAGACAGUUCGGUCCCUAUCUGCCGUGGGCGCUGGAGAACUGAGGGGGGCUGCUCCUAGUACGAGAGGACCGGAGUGGACGCAUCACUGGUGUUCGGGUUGUCAUGCCAAUGGCACUGCCCGGUAGCUAAAUGCGGAAGAGAUAAGUGCUGAAAGCAUCUAAGCACGAAACUUGCCCCGAGAUGAGUUCUCCCUG
rnacentral:rRNA from 1 species